UACGAAGGGUGCAAGCGUUACUCGGAAUUACUGGGCGUAAAGCGUGCGUAGGCGGUUCGUUAAGUCAGAUGUGAAAGCCCCGGGCUCAACCUGGGAAUUGCAUUUGAUACUGGCGGGCUAGAGUGCGGUAGAGGAGAGUGGAAUUCCCGGUGUAGCGGUGAAAUGCGUAGAGAUCGGGAGGAACAUCAGUUGCGAAGGCGGCUCUCUGGACCAGCACUGACACUGAGGCACGAAAGCGUGGGGAUCAAACAGG
rnacentral:rRNA from 1 species